GACGAACGCUGGCGGCGUGCUUAACACAUGCAAGUCGAACGGAAAGGCCCUGCUUUUGUGGGGUGCUCGAGUGGCGAACGGGUGAGUAACACGUGAGUAACCUGCCCUUGACUUUGGGAUAACUUCAGUAAACUGGGGCUAAUACCGGAUAGGAGCUCCUGCUGCCUGGUGGGGGUUGGAAAGUUUCGGCGGUUGGGGAUGGACUCGCGGCUUAUCAGCUUGUUGGUGGGGUAGUGGCUUACCAAGGCUUUGACGGGUAGCCGGCCUGAGAGGGUGACCGGCCACAUUGGGACUGAGAUACGGCCCAGACUCCUACGGGAGGCAGCAGUGGGGAAUAUUGCACAAUGGGCGGAAGCCUGAUGCAGCAACGACGCGUGCGGGAUGACGGCCUUCGGGGUGUAAACCGCUUUCGCCUGUGACGAAGCGUGAGUGACGGUAAUGGGUAAAGAAGCACCGGCUAACUACGUG
rnacentral:rRNA from 1 species